GACGAACCGUGCGAACGUUGUUCGGAAUCACUGGGCUUAAAGGGCGCGUAGGCGGGCUGUCAAGUCCGGGGGUGAAAUCCUCCAGCUCAACUGGGAGAAUGGCCUCGGAUACUGAUGGUCUCGAGGAGGAUAGGGGCACACGGAACUGUGGGUGGAGCGGUGAAAUGCGUUGAUAUCGCUUGGAACGCCGAAGGUGAAAACAGGCUGCUGGGGUUGCGCCGACGCUGAGACACGAAAGCCAGGGGAGCGAACA
rnacentral:rRNA from 1 species